rnacentral:lncRNA from 1 species
AGAGUUGGAACUUACUGCAACACUCACCUCCAGAGAACCCCGCUGGCUGCAGAAACUCUCAGUCUAGAAGUUCUACAGGACUGAACAUGGUAAUCCCAGGGACAGCCACCACUGAUGGGCUUCACACUCAAAAGACCAGGCAAGAAGCCACAUUUGUGACUGAUGACAUCCAGUGAACCAGAAGGGCAGGGGAAUUAUACAGA